rnacentral:rRNA from 1 species
GAUUAUGGCUCAGGAUGAACGCUAGCGGCAGGCUUAACACAUGCAAGUCGAGGGGCAGCGCGAGUAGCAAUACUUGGCGGCGACCGGCGCAAGGGUGCGUAACGCGUGAGCAACAUGCCCGUAUCAGGGGGAUAAUCCAGGGAAACUUGGUCUAAUACCCCAUAGUAAUUUUGUAAGGCAUCUUAUAGGAUUUAAAGCUUUGGUGGAUACGGAUUGGCUCGCGUGACAUUAGCUGGAUGGUAAGGUAACGGCUUACCAUGGCUAUGAUGUCUAGGGGUUCUGAGAGGAAGGUCCCCCACACUGGAACUGAGACACGGUCCAGACUCCUACGGGAGGCAGCAGUGAGGAAUAUUGGACAAUGGAUGGAAAUCUGAUCCAGCCAUGCCGCGUGAAAGGAAGAAGGUCCUAUGGAUUGUAAACUUCUUUUGUAUGGGAGCAAUAAGGCCUACGAGUAGGUUGAUGAGAGUACCAUACGAGUAAGCACCGGCUAACUCCGUGCCAGCCGCCGC